rnacentral:rRNA from 1 species
AUUGAACGCUGGCGGCAGGCCUAACACAUGCAAGUCGAGCGACCGGCGGACGGGUGAUUAAUGUCUGUGAAACUGCCUGAUGGCGGUGGCUAACUACUGCAAACGCUAGCUACUACUGCAUACCAUCAGAUGUGCCCAGAUGGGAUUAGCUAGUGGGUGGGGGAAAGGCUCACCUAGGCGACCAUCCCUAGCUGGUCUGAGAGGAUGACCAGCCACACUGGAACUGAGACACGGUCCAGACUCCUACGGGAGGCAGCAGUGGGGAAUAUUGCACAAUGGGCGAAAGCCUGAUGCAGCCAUGCCGCGUGUGUGAAGAAGGCCUUCGGGUUGUAAAGCACUUUCAGCGGGGAGGCGUUACCCGCAGAAGAAGCACCGGCUAACUACGUGCCAGCAGCCGCGGUAAUAC